GACGUAGGGUCCAAGCGUUGUCCGGAUUUACUGGGCGUAAAGAGCGCGUAGGCGGUCUGUUAAGUGUAGAGUGAAAUCUCCAGGGCUCAACCCGGAAACUGCUCUGCAUACUGGCAGACUUGAGGAAUGCAGAGGUUUGUGGAAUUCCUGGUGUAGCGGUGAAAUGCGUUGAUAUCAGGAGGAACACCCAUGGCGAAGGCAGCAAACUGGGCAUUAUCUGACGCUGAGGCGCGAAAGCGUGGGGAGCGAACAGG
rnacentral:rRNA from 1 species